rnacentral:lncRNA from 1 species
AGAAGAAUCCAAGGACUAAGCCAUCGUGGCUUCAACCUAAAGGCUGGGAAGAGAAGACUCCACACAAGGAAACAGAGUCAGGAAGAGUUUACGAGGACUGAUUCAUUAGAGGAGAACCUGACUCCAUAUGGAGUGGAGACAGAUGUAAGGUCAAAGUUCUUCAGGAAACAGUGGAAUCUGAGGCCUAGGAGGAAAGUGUGCUUCAUAAGCAACAAGCACAAGUCUCCCCUGAAAGAUGAGAAAAGACAGACUCUGAGCACUCGUGUCGGGAGGACAAUAAACUGCUGGUAAGCAGUAAUCGUUUGUGAUCAGCUGAAUCUACCACAAAGAUCAGCAGCCACCCCUUGGGGAGGUACAUUUCCCAGUAGGAGCGGAAUGGCUCACUGCCACCAACUGCAGAGAGGAAGAAGUCAUCAAAUAAAUUCACAGCACUACAAAGAAGGGAGAAAAUGGAAACAGCAGAAAACUCCCGCACCCCGCACCACUGGCACUGGAGUAUUCAACUACACAUCAUCCCUAAGUGCAGGAGAAUCCCAUCCGGUGUCACAUCCUGCAAGAUCACUGCAUCAGCAGGGACCGAGGGUUCUGGCUGAAGAUGCAUGGUGAUGAGAAACAGAACUUACUCUCCAGGAACUCCAUUUGCUUAUCUUCAGAGUUGAUAUGAACUGCAUUAAAACCUUGGGUAGGAGCCGUACUGUGCUGGACUGUGUUGGAAGCCAGCAAGUGGAGGACACUGGUCUUUCCUGCUCCAUCCAGACCUAGUACUAGGAUCUGCUUAUUUUCUACCUGUGAAAUAAAAGAUAAAGCAG